GAUGAAGAACGUAGUGAAAUGCGAUAAGUAAUGCGAAUUGCAGAAUUCAGUGAAUCAUCGAAUCUUUGAACGCACAUUGCGCCCGCCAGUAUUCUGGCGGGCAUGCCUGUCUGAGCGUCGUUUCGACCCUCGCGCCCGGCUUCUGUCGGGGGCGGUGUUGGGGAUCGGCCACACCCUUCAGUGGGAGGCCGGCCCCUAAAUUCAGUGGCGACCACGCUGUAGCCUCCCCUGCGUAGUACUAAAACCACCUCGCAGGCGGAGAGCGGUUCGGCCCGCCGUAAAACCCCCCAACUUUUACAAGGUCGACCUCAGAUCAGGUAGGAAUACCCGCUGAACUUAAGCAUAUCAAUAAGCGGAGGA
rnacentral:misc_RNA from 1 species